rnacentral:rRNA from 1 species
GAUUUUAUUUGGAAGGGGGAAGUCUGGUGCCAGCAGCCGCGGUAAUUCCAGCUCCAAAAGCGUAUAUUAAAGUUGUUGCAGUUAAAAAGCUCGUAGUUGAACCUUGGGCUUGGCUGGCCGGUCCAUCUUUUUGAUGCGUACUGGACCCAGCCGAGCCUUUCCUUCUGGGUAGCCAUUUAUGGCGAACCAGGACUUUUACUUUGAAAAAAUUAGAGUGUUCAAAGCAGGCCUUUGCUCGAAUAUAUUAGCAUGGAAUAAUAGAAUAGGACGUUAUGGUUCUAUUUUGUUGGUUUCUAGGACCAUCGUAAUGAUUAAUAGGGACGGUCGGGGGUAUCAGUAUUCAGUUGUCAGAGGUGAAAUUCUUGGAUUUACUGAAGACUAACUACUGCGAAAGCAUUUACCAAGGACGUUUUCAUUAAUCAAGAACGAAAGUUAGGGGAUCGAAGAUGAUCUAGAUACGUCGUAGUUCCCCCC